UCAUGCUUUUCUAUUUUUGCAAGCUCAUGCCUUUUAUAUUCGUUUGCAUAAAUUAAUAUUUCCCAUGUUGAUAACAAAUAUAGUAGGUAUCUGAAUUUAAGCCCACCGAAAUUUUGCAAAACUCGCAAACAGAAACCAAUCUGAAAAAAUUUACUAUAGGAAUAUGAAUGCCGUUUUACCCUUUCUUUGACCAUCGACGACCAGUGUAAUUUAAUAAAUAAUAAGAAUUUUUGCCCCUGGUGGCAAAAUGUUCGUAGCACCUAGGGUAAAAGUUAAUUUGAAAAUUUUAUCUUCAGUUUAUAUGUAGUAUUUAGUUUCUAUGAGUCUUUAUUUUAACAAAACUUGCUUUUUGUGGGAAAAAUAUGUUUCGCGGUUUAGCGAUAUGGUAGGUACAAGUGUAUUUAAUUAAUUUAAUCCAGAAUGUGGUCUGGAUAAUUGCAAGAAAACAUGGAAUAAGUAAUUAUGUAUUAUAUUAAACGAAAGGGCAACCGCAAGUGUCAUGCCGUGCGGCAAAAAUGUAUAAAAGCUUAACCAGACAGUAACUCAUUUUCAUUAACUACAACAGUUGUUGCCAUUAGACGAAAAGUUCCCAGUAGAACUACAUAAGCACGUUUGACGAAAAAAAAGGUAAAAAUGUACAAAAAAAUACUAGGCGCCAUAAAGAAGAAAAGAGAUCAGAAAUCUAGCGAUGAGUCCCAGAAUCAUAAAAUGAUGAGAGUGAAAACUAAAGCAAAAUCUUGUAAAUGCGUUCCUCAAAGCUGUAAAUGCAAGUUUGGAAACGCAGUUAAAUUGUUAACAAAACAACGUUAUCGCAACUUUUCUAGUGGCAUUCUAGUUUAAGUGUUUACGUGCUUCACCAUUAAAAAAUUAUAAAUAAUAAAAUACUUCUUGCAUGAAUUGCGUUUGAUAA